rnacentral:rRNA from 1 species
UACAGAGGUCUCAAGCGUUGUUCGGAUUCAUUGGGCGUAAAGGGUGCGUAGGCGGCUUGUCGCGUCGUCCGUGAAAACCUGUGGCUCAACUGCAGGCUUGCGGUCGAUACGGGCAGGCUGGAGUUCGGUAGGGGAGACUGGAAUUCCUGGUGUAGCGGUGAAAUGCGCAGAUAUCAGGAGGAACACCGGUGGCGAAGGCGGGUCUCUGGGCCGAUACUGACGCUGAGGAGCGAAAGCGUGGGGAGCGAACAGG